ensembl:lncRNA
CGCCAUGGCAGGGCCUCGUCCAUCCAGCCUGGGCCGCGCUGGCCGGAGCAGACCGCAAGCGGCCCGCUGGGAGCCCAGCCAAGAGCGGUGUUUUUCCAGGUCCGCGCAGGGCCACGGGAACCCGCGUGUUUGUUUGGUGGGAAUGGAUUCCUGGAAAACUAGACGGAAGGCUCUCCCAGCUGCUGGCUCCGCUCUGUUGAUGGAUACCAUCCAGUGUCACCACAGGGGCUUCCAGUGCCUGGAAUUUUGGUGGGAGGAGAGCAACUUCAGGAAUGAAGACCCAACCAUCGGCUAUCUCUGGAGAGCACGUUGUCCUGUCAGCAUCUUGGCUCAGCACUGUGGGAUAAAAACACAAAGAAAUAAUAAAAAAUGCAAAGAGUUUAUACAGGACUUAGUAUGUGCACCAAGCACCAUUUUUUAAAGUUUUGUUUAUUUUU